ACUUAUUCUUUAACAAAUCAAUCUGAUUAGAAUGACAAGAGGAGAAAGGGAGAAUUCAUUUAAGAGUCAUUUCAUCCUUGAUCCAUUUCACAGAGGGGUUAAAAUAAAGAAGCAAGAAACAAAAGCUAAAAAAUCCCUACUCAAUGCCUUCAAAAUCUUCCAAAAAUUAGUUCCUAAAAUUAAUGCAUAGAUUACUAAGCAACUAAGAUAAUAAUUUAUAAUGCACAAGUAUAUUUUUAUCGUAUUUUAAUUAUGCUACUAACUACAAGGCAGCUUUUAGUAGGAUAUAUAGCAUUAAUUUUCAUUAAAAAGGAAGAAUGUAAGCUAGAAUAUUCAAAAUCUAGAACCAAAAAAUAGUUUAUUAGUUAUAAGAUUGUCUAAUCCUACAAUUAUUCUAUGCUAUAACUUCUAAGUUUUGAUACAUAUGAUCAAUUUUUAUACUGCAAAAUGUUUG
rnacentral:misc_RNA from 1 species